UUCAGCCCUAGACAUGCAACCAAUGAAGGAACUAGAGGUCAGGUUGCAUGAAAUUUUAUUGGAAAAUAAAUCACCAUCUCUUCUCUCAUUUCCUUAUGCGCAUAAGGGAGAAAGAGCUGGUCAUUUUCUGGUCUUAGUGCACUUUAAAUCAGCAUCUCAAACCCCUACUCUUUCCACCUAAGCACUGAAGUGGUAGAGGAAACCUCACCUUUCGAACUUCACUUUCUCUUUGGCACAAACCUCAACCGUAGAAACUUGAGACUCAAAAAGGAAAACACAAACACCUCCUUUUCCCUCACUCCCUUUGACCGUAUGUACUCUUAAAGACAUACCAAAGGAUCUCUAAAACUUUACUCUACUCUCAUCUUUCCCUCUUAGAAACCGUAGACCUUAGGAGAUUAAUAUCAUUGAGUAAACCAUUCUAUUCCUCCUCUGUCCAGCCAAGGUUCUUCACGCUAGAAGGACUGUUUUCAAGAUAUUUCUUCAUUGCUGGUGUGCACAACCAUCAUUUGAGGAGCUGAGUUUACUGCUCUUGUGUUCUAUUUGAUUUUCAUUUGUAUUCCGGCAAGAGGUGCGCAAUUUCAUUGAAUGUGGACUGAAUUGGUGGCUGUUUGGAUAAUCGUGGAAUGCUUGAUUUAAAUAGCUAAAGUGCUAAGAAUUUUGGUCCAGCAUUAUCUUCUCUUCAUUCCUCCCUAUGCGUUGAACUAUGGAAUCCAAGGCUGAAUAAUUAUCACUUGUAUACUUGGACCAGAAUUGAAACCAACACCACCUUUUCCCUCACAACCGAACGUCCUCCCAAUGGACCACUCAAACCAUGUUUGCGUCCUUCCCACAUCAUCCCUCUCCUCAAACCGUGAAUACCAUGAGAAAACCAUGAAGUACCUUAGCAGCUUUUCCUUCUCUCACUGUUCGGCUGAACUUCCACCGCCAAGGGGGGUAAUGUGUCCUCUCCGUCUUAGAUUCUCCUACUCUGUUUCGGCUUGGGUGGAGAACUUCUCUUGCAUGCAGCUGAAGGCGCGGUUUCUUACCAGGAAAAUCAUCACCCUAAGUUCUGCACUAUCAUCUCUUUACAUGCAAAAACAAGCGAUGUUGACGCUCAUAGGUUUGGGGACUGUUUUCUGCAACUAUUUUAAGAGAGCAACCUGGUUGCGAGCGAGAAGGUACCAACGAGGACAGAAGAGCAUUUGAAGACAUGUUUAAUUGGAUAUUUGCUGUUAUUUGCUGCUGUAUGGACUAUUGUUGUUGCUGAUGUUUGAUGGAUGACUGUAUUCAAUUGAGUAGCUUGAAUUACAGUUGGAUUAUGAUUUUGUUUCUGUUUUUAAGACCUUUAUGAUCAGUUGGUAACAUUGGAAAAAUUCUGAAAUGUGUGCGAAAGUAAUCUCCGAACAUUUUAUUAUAUGCUGAUUUUUAAACGGAUUUGCGAGCACUUUGCGAGUUGUCGUUCUGGGGCUACGGACCUC